GGCCAGCAGGCCGCACAGCAGCUUGCUGUAGGAGCGGUUCUGCGCGCCGCCGAUCUUGCCGAUGCUGUGCAGGCUGCAGAGCGCGCACGGCUCGCUGGAGCCGCCGAAGGCCAUAAGCUGGUCCGGGACCACGUGCACCGCGAUGUACUGCGAGGAAAGGGCGCGGUCAGCCCGCCCCAGCGACCUCGUCGGGCCCCGAGCGUCCACUUCGGGCCCGAGCCACCGUCCUCCCCCCGCCCCGCCCCCCAGCUCCGUUCAGGAGUCGCCUCCCCAGCUCCCAGCGCGGGACCCCUUGUCCGGUGGGCACCCCCCUCUUCCUGUCCCCUCCCGGCAAACCUGGGGGGGCUUGCCGGUGGCCUGCGCCAGCUGCUGGGUGAGCUCGGAGAGGAACCCGUCCGGCACGGAGGCGCGGGGCACGUUGGUGUUUACGAUGAACAUCGGCAUGAUGGCAGAAGGACCGGGAGACCCGCGCAGAGGCACAGACGCACGCGCCGCGGCCGCCGCUGAGCUACGUGCCUGACUUCUCGGACGCCACUGCGGUCCCGCCUUUUGUGACGCCACCGCCGGCGCCAGGCCCCGCCCCCGCGAGGCUGCGGCUCCGCCCCGAGUGGGGAAGUCACCGCCUGCCUCGGCUAGACCCCCGCAGGGCAGGACCCUGGGCGACUCCGCCCGUUCCUCCAGCAACCGCGGCUAAGCCCGGCGCACCGCUCCAAGCUGUUCUCCACUUGGCGGCUAGAAAUCGGCCUGUCCCGGCCUCGCCUCGGGUCUUUCUUAGUCCUUUCACUAAGUCACCGAUGUUAGUCGCCAGGAGGCGCUGUGCCGGGGGUGGGGAUGCGGCGGUGAACCCGGAAGAUGGCCCCUUACCCUUCCAGAGAUGAAGCCCAGUUCAUUCCACUGCACGCACUGAGCCCCUGUACCUCCUGAGUCUUUGGGCCACACGUCCCCAAGGGCUCCAGUCCCGCAUGCGUGAGCUUGUGUGUUUGAGAUGGGGAGGGGUAGUCAUUGCGGCAGGUGAGAGGGGAGCUGCCCCUGCGAAUCACCAUCCAGGGAACUUCCCUGAACCCCUGCUCUUUAAAGAGGAUAGGAUGCUGGGAGGCACCGAAGGGAAGGAGGUGAGAUCCAGCGCAGGUUCAGUGGUUCAAACGUGCUCAGCUCCCCUUCUCUGGGCCUCUGGGCAACUUCAGCUCCUCAGGGAAGCCACACCCUAGUCAGGUCCACCGUGUAUGGCCUCUCAUAGAGCCCUUGGUGAAUUUCUUAAAUGUCUUUUCCACUAAUGGUAAACUCGGGGACCAUCUAGCAGGUGCCAGGCAUACAAGAGACAUUGACUAAUACUGCUGAAUGAAUGAAUGAAUGGGUGAAAGAAGAUAAGCCAUGACAUAGCAGGAAGAGGACAAGGCAGCAACUGGAUCACAGGCCAGGUCCUCAGAGAUUUCCAGGGAGGUCCUGUCCUUGGUCUCUGAUAGGUGCAAUCCAUAUACCAGUCUCAGUGAAGGCCAUGUGAUAUAGGAAGGACACCCAUGCCUGUGGGACCCUCGUGGCACCAGCCAGCCUCCAGCUGGGAGGCCCCACGGCCCAUUUAUACAAAUAGCCUAUGGGUAUUGGUUCCUGCAGCUGGGCCCCAGACUCUUUCCCUCCUGCUGUCACACCUUCUCUUACCUGUGCCCAGGGCUCCCUAACUGAUGGCACUCCAUACCAUGUCUCCAGCCAGGGGCACUCCCCUAAGCCCCAGGCGCUGACAGCAGCCGACUGAGUGUCCACUGCUCUGUAAAGUCCAAAUGUAUGACUUGUCCUCCUACACCUGAUCACCUGCCAGUAAAAUAUGCCUCCUUUCACUAUCCCUGUAUUCCCACUUCUCUCCAUUCCCUGAACUACCGCCUAGUCUACACUAGCUGCAUCCCCUUUGGCCUGGACCACUGUGACUUCCCUAUGGUGGACUGCUGCUCCUCAAGGGAGGAGUCUGUUUCCAGCCCCAGGCAGCAGAGUUAGCCCCUGACUCUCUGUGCCCUAUGAAAGCUGAGCAGAAUUACAUAAGUCACUCCAGGCAGAAGACUGAAGAGCCAGGGCCUGGUUGACCUGUGCCCUGUGAACCUGAAUGACAAGGUGCAGCCUCGCCAGCAAGCACAUGAGCUGCCCCUGGAGCUAGAGUGCCAGAUUCCAAGCAAGAGAAACACUCGAUGUCCAUUACUGGCUUUGAAGAUGAAGGGGACCAGAGACCUCAUGGUACAACCACAAGGAACUGAAUUCUGCUCACAACCAGAUUGAACUUGGAAGUGGAUUUUUCCCUUGUCCCUUCAGAUACCUUGACUUUGGCCAUGCGAGUCCUUACACAGAAGACCUAGUCAUGUCACGCCGGACUACUGACCCACAGAAACUGUGAGAUAAUAAAUGUGUGUUGUUUGAAGCUGCUAAAAA